rnacentral:sRNA from 1 species
GCUGGAUCACACCCUGAUUGGUAAACGCUAAUCACUGAGCAAGGAACGGCUGGUAUGGCUUAGUUCUUGAGGCCUUCCGAUUGUACAAGCACAUCGGAAGGCUUUGGGAACCAGGGUGCGCUUGAUUGGUGAGCACUUUUCACUAGAAUAGGGACAUCACGACUAGUAAACACUACUCACUGGGCUAAGGACGUCUUGUUCAGCCUAUAGUUCCAAGGCCUUCCGAUUGUGCAUACAUGGUACGCUUGAUCGGUGAACACCACUCAAAGUGCUGGAUAACACUCUGAUCGAUGAACGCUAAUCACUGAGCAAGGGACGGCUGGUAUGGCUUAGUACCUGAGACCUUCCGAUUAUACAAGCACAUCGGAAGGCUUCGGGGACCAUGGUUCGCUUGAGUGGUGAACACUACUCACUGGGCUGGAAGCACCCCGAUCGGUGAACACUACUCACUAGGAUAGGGACAUCGCGAACAGUGAACACUACUCACUGGGCUAUAGACAUCUUGUUCAGCCUAUAGUUCCGAGGCCUUCCGAUUGUGGAAACAUGCUACGCUUGAUCAGUGAUUACUACUCACCUCUCAUUGGACACUCAAUCUAGCCUGGCUCCCGAUGCCUCCCGAUUGUGCAAGGACAUCGGAAGGCCUCGGGGACCUUGGAAUGUUUGGUCAGAGAAAUCUACCUGUUUAGCAAGGGACACCCCGAUCGUUGAACACUACUCACUAAGUUGGGGACAUCCCGAUCAGUGAACGCUUAUACUAAUGGCCAUACUCAAUCGCUCAGUGAAUUUACUGUUACAGCAUCCAUAAAGAUUCAUUACUGAUGUACCCAUUUCAAAGACUUUAGCACACUUGCAUUGAAACAAUAUAGCAUUUAGUCGAGCCAGAACAAUCUCUUUAUUUUGCUCGAAAUUAAAAUCGGCCAUUGAAAACUUUAUUUAUAAAGUAACUGUGUUGUCAAAGGUCAGAGGUCAACAAGCUGUUAGUCCGUUCAAGUUCAGCUUAAGCUCCGGUCAUAUUUGUGAAACUGAAUUGUGUAUCGCACAACAGUACCUGUAAAAGUCUGCAUUCCUUCGUGUUAAAAACUUCCUAAGAGUUCUUUCUUGCGGCUUUUCCCAAAGCAUUUGUGUAAUUUAAAGUUUUUACAAAAUGUUUAAGACCCUCAACACCAUGUGACUUCUAUUUUUUAUUACAGUACAUCACAUGAUGGCGAUUCUAACCUUUGAGCAACUGUUUAUAGAGAGUAUCCUGUAAUUUUCAUCGCGAUGCUAAUGUUUAGACGUUAUUGGUGGAAAAACAAUAAUUCAUUUUUUCACUUAUGUAUUUUAUAUUUAUCCUUAGAAAUUAGCUUACUCUGAAUGAAUGAUUUAAUGAUUUUGUCACUUGUAUAAAGCAAUGUCCUAUGUAAUACAUUCAUGAAUUCUAUGUACUCUGCAAAAAUAACACAUUUUUGCAGUGAAUACCAUUUAUCAGUUAUUCGGUUAAAUUAUUGAACUACAUGUAUAGGUACAUACUGAUAAGAUGAUUUAUUACGAAAUAACGAUUAAAGAGUACUACGCUAU